rnacentral:rRNA from 1 species
AUUGAACGCUGGCGGCAGGCCUAACACAUGCAAGUCGAGCGGAUGAAGGGAGCUUGCUCCUGGAUUCAGCGGCGGGCGGGUGAGUAAUGCCUAGGAAUCUGCCUGGUAGUGGGGGAUAACGUCCGGAAACGGGCGCUAACACCGCAUACGUCCUGAGGGAGAAAGUGGGGGAUCUUCGGACCUCACGCUAUCAGAUGAGCCUAGGUCGGAUUAGCUAGUUGGUGGGGUAAAGGCCUACCAAGGCGACGAUCCGUAACUGGUCUGAGAGGAUGAUCAGUCACACUGGAACUGAGACACGGUCCAGACUCCUACGGGAGGCAGCAGUGGGGAAUAUUGGACAAUGGGCGAAAGCCUGAUCCAGCCAUGCCGCGUGUGUGAAGAAGGUCUUCGGAUUGUAAAGCACUUUAGGUUGGGAGGAAGGGCAGUAAGUUAAUACCUUGCUGUUUUGACGUUACCAACAGAAUAAGCACCGGCUAACAUCGUG